rnacentral:lncRNA from 1 species
UCGUAGAUCUUGUAGUCAUUAUCAGAUUUCGUUUGUUUGGGUUUAUAUCAUUCAGUUUGCGUUUUCUGGUGUUUUGUCAAAGAUCUCUGCGAGAUUACCUGUUAUUUUGACACACAUCAACCUUCUCCCUUCUCUAUACCCACGAACCACCACCGUGAAGACCGAACAUCGCCGCCUAUGUUCUGAGCCCGCCGCCACACCACUUGAAUCCGCCAUUAUGUACUACCGCCGGGGGUAGAACGCCGCUCUUUGUUCCUAUCUGUGAGUAUGGCGAAAGCUAAGCUAAGUUCCUAGAUUGAACGUGAGGGACUGAUUUAGGAAGGUUUGCAAAAACAGAAGGGCUGGAUUGUAAAGUGUGCUUCUAUACAAGAUUGCUUUUCAGCUAGGGUUUCAAUUCAGUUUGAUAUGCAUAUUUGUUUUACAUCCCAUCGUCAUCAGCCCUUAGAAUCUGAUCACAAAGUGUUUUGGACUACAUUUAUCUGAACAAGUGGUAGUAGGUAGGUUUGUUGUCAGAGCUUUCACCUCAUCCCACCCCUUUCCUCACAAUUUCAACAUUGCAACAGUACGACGUUUUUCUGAGCUUUAAAUUUGAAAAUCCGAGAAACAGAAAUUAUGCUGCCCAAAAGUUGCUUAACCCACCUAUCUCUUUUCUGAUCCUUACGGUUGAUUCAUAAGUUUUCUCACCGGCAAACAAAGUGUUAAAGCGGGGGUGGUAAAUCCCACCGUGCUUAAGCUUCUUGAGGUGCAUGAUGAUCUCUUCUUUCCUUGGCUUGAACAGCAGUACAGCACCUCCUUCUUCUGAUCAUUAUUUUCAGUUUCGGUGAUUGAUGAUGGGGUAGUGUUGGUUGCUUUUAUGAUCGAUGUUGAUGGGGUAAUGAUGUAGGGUUUUAUGAUCGAUGGAAGCUUUGGGGUAGCAUUCUUCUUUUUGCGUAGAAGAACCCUUGUGAUUUUCAUGGUGGUGGUUUGAACGAUGGGUGAAUCAACUCUAUGUUAUAUACAAAGUUGAGAUGCACGAAAUGGGGAUGAAACUAGCUUUUGUUAAUGUUUGGCAUUAGCCAUAUGUUAUAUACAAAGUUGAGAUGCACGAAAUGGGGAUGAAACUAGCUUUUG